rnacentral:rRNA from 1 species
UACGUAGGGUGCGAGCGUUAAUCGGAAUUACUGGGCGUAAAGCGCGCGUAGGCGGCUUUUCAAGUCGAUUGUGAAAUCCCCGGGCUUAACCUGGGAACUGCAGUCGAGACUGUCUAGCUAGAGUAUGGGAGAGGGAAGUGGAAUUUCAGGUGUAGCGGUGAAAUGCGUAGAUAUCUGAAGGAACAUCAGUGGCGAAAGCGACUUCCUGGACCAAUACUGACGCUCAUGUGCGAAAGCGUGGGGAGCAAACAGG